rnacentral:lncRNA from 1 species
AGUCCUCUUUUUCUUAAUUUUACAUUUUAUUGUAUCUGUAGUGUAGCUUGCAAGGAGCAUGGGUCACUAUAAAUACCCAGCUCCUCAUUGUAUUUUCCACUUUUGAGAUUAAUGAGAAUANAAUUUUCUAAAUUCAAGAAACUAUUCUCUCUUGANANUCACAAGGCUAGAGAGUCCAAAGACUCCCUCUAGCCACCUUCCAAGGCACACUUCCUAUUUUUCACUUUCCAUUUUCCCUUGUGCCUUCUCUCACGACGUCACUCCUCCACGCUGCACCACUCAUCAGAAGCCACAACUCUGCUUCUUGCGUCAGCGUCUCGACCACACAUUUUCAGUCUUCGUCCACGCAUCAGAAUCUAUCGCUUCUCAUCUUCAUUUCGCACAUCAGAUCUACACCACAGAGCCACAUUUUAUUUCUGUCCCGCGAGCUCAACUUCAUCGUUUCCUCUCUCGAGAGCUCGUCGUCGUCGCCAUCCAUAUUUCCCACACCGUAAACCAUUCUUUUUCCAUUUCUUUGCUUCUUCACCAUCACAGAACUUCAAACCUAGGGUUUCCUCUUCAUUUUCCACUUUCCUUUCAAUUUCACCGAUUACUUUCCAUUUUCUAUCGUUUAAAACCUCUCUUGAACCGAUCCGAAGCUUUUCCACC